UGCUCAGCGCCGGCUUCAAGCAGGUGGUGCAGGGCUUGCUGUCUGACACCUAUCUGGAGGCUCAUAGUGUAACCUGUUUAAACCAAAGUGAUGAGAGCGAUAUGGUAGAAGAAUUGACCGAAGAAGAGUUAUCAGAAUUAGCAGACGAAGAUUUAUACUCCCGAAUGGCGCGCAGUCUCGCGCCUGAGAUCUAUGGCCAUGAGGAUGUGAAGAAGGCACUGCUGUUGUUGUUAGUGGGAGGUGUUGAUAAGCGUCCAAACGGCAUGAAGAUCCGCGGCAACAUCAACAU
rnacentral:lncRNA from 1 species